GAAAAGAGAAAGAAAACAAAGAAAAGAAACAGAAUAGGCAAAUGAAAAGCAGGGGAAGGAAAGAAAGAAAGGAGAAAGAAAAGAAAAAGGGAGAAUUAGGGUUUGAAGGUUUGGCAAUUUAAUAGCUAAUGUUGUCUCGGGAAAUCUCGGCUAAGCAAGGAAAAAUGGCAAAGACAACGGGAGUUAGCUCGAGAAAAUACGGUUUGUAUUUCUAUAAUCCGAACUCAGUCAUUAUUUGUUAUAUUUAUAUACAUAUGACAAUUGUUAGUGUUAGAAUUAUGAUGUUUUACAAUUGAAAUGGAUUGAUUUUGGUAUGUGAUGAAUUUAUCAAAUUUAUAUUGAUUGAAA